rnacentral:lncRNA from 1 species
UGACACAAAAACCUAACAAAGACAUAUAAGAAAAGAAAACUACAAAUACCCAUCAAGACUGAUGGAAAAACUCUUAUUUUAUUUUAUCAAGAAGUUUUUUCUUCCUACAAGAUGCCAAACAGAAAAAUUCUUAAUAAGCUUUUAGCAAUCAAAUCCGAUAAUUUAUAAAAUAGAUAACACUUGAUGACCAAGUGGGGUUUAUUCCAGAAAUUCAAGGUUGAUUCAACAUUUGAAAAUCAAUCCAUGUAAUUCACCAUAUUAACAGAGUAAAAAAUUAAAAAAAAAAAAAACCAUGAUUAUCUCAGUAAAUACCGGAAAAGCAUUUGAUAAAACCCAAUGUCCAUUCUUGAUAAAAACUCUCAGCAAACUAGAUAUUGAAGGGAACUUCCUCCACCUUAUAAAAGGCAUCUAAGAUAAACCUACUGUUAACAUCGUACUUAAUGGUGAAGAUAGAGUGCUUUCACCCCAAGAUAGGGAACGAGACAAGAAUAUCUACUCUCACCACUUCUAUUCACAUUGCACAGGAGGUUCUAGCCAAUGCACUUAGGCAAGGAAAAGAAACAAAAGGCAUGUAGCUUAGAAAGAAGAUGUAAAACAGGCUUUACAUGCAGAUAACAUAAUCAUCUACUCAGAAGAUCCUGUGAAAUCUAGGGAAAAAGUUAUUUUCGAGACAGUCUCACUCUGUCACCCAGGCUGGAGUGCAAUGCUGGGAUCUCCGCUGGCUGUAACCUCCACUUCCUGGGUUCAAGCAAUUCUCGGGCCUCAGCCUCCUGAGUAGCUGGGAUUACAGGCGCGUAUCACCAUGCCCAGCUAAUUCUUGUAUUUUUACUAGAGAUGGGGUUUCGCCAUGUUGGCCAGGCUGUUCUGGAACUCCUGACCUCAAGUGAUUGCGAGUCGUCCGCCUCUCCCUCCCAAAGUACAGGAAUUUCAGGCAUAAGCCACUAAGCUCGGCCAGAAAAAGCUAUUAAAACUAGUAAGUGACUUAAGAAGGCUUCAGAAUACAAGCUCAAUAAACAGAAAACAAUUGUCCUUCUGAAUACUACCAAUAAGUAAUCAGAAAUUGGAAUUCAAAAUUCCAAUAUCAUUUACAAUAGCAACAAAAAUAUGAUUUGCCUAAGUAUAAAUCUAACAAAAGAUGUGCGGCCGGGCGCGGUGGCUCACGCCUGUGAUCCCAGCACUUGGGGAGGCCGAGGUGGGCGGAUCAUGAGGUCAGGAGAUGGAGACCAUCCUGGCUAACACAGUGAAACCCCAUCUCUACUAAAAAUACGAAAAAAAUUAGCCAGGCGUGGUGGCGGGCGCCUGUAGUCCCAGCUACUCAGGAGGCCGAGGCAGGAGAAUGGCAUGAACCCCAGAGCAGAGGUUGCAGUGAGCCGAGAUCGUGCCACUGCCCCCCAGGCCGGGGGACAGAGCGAGACUUCAUCUCAAAAAAAAAAAAAAAAAGACGUGCAAGACUGUACACCAAAAACUACAAAACAUCGCUGAUUGAAAUUAAAGAACACCUAAAUAAACGGGACACACAGUCAUGAAUCAGAACAUUCACUAUUGUUAAGUUACCACUUCUCUCCAAAUUGACCUAUGGAUUCAAUGUAGUCCCAAUCAAAAUCAAAAUCCCGACAGACUUCUUUUUUUUUUUUUUUGGUAGCUGAUUCUAAAAUUCAUAUGGAGAUGCAAAGGAGCUAUAAAUAUUUCAUAAAAUUUUGGAAAAGAAGAACAAAGUUUGAGGACUUACACUUCUUUUCUUUAAGACAUUAUAAAAUUUGGCCAGGUGCGGUGGCUCACGCCUGUAAUCCCAACCCUUUGGGAGGAUGAAGGGGGAGGAUCACUUGAGGUCAGGAGCUCAAGACCAGCCUGGCCAACAUGGUGAAACCCUGUCUCUGCUAAAAAUACAAAAAAUAGCUAGGCAUGAUGGUGCACUCCUGUAGUCCCAGCUACUCAGGAGGCUGAAAUAGGAGAAUCACUUGAACCUAGGAAGUGAAGGUUGCAGUGAGCCGAGUUCGUGCCAUUGCACUCCAGCCUGGGAGACGGAUGGAGACUCCAUCUCAAAAAAAAAAAAAUAAUAAUAAUAAUAUAUAUAAUUUAUAUAUAUAAAUUAUUAAAAUAGUACAUGUACUUCCAAAAUAUAUACAACUAUUAUUUUAAAAGACAUAUUAGAAAGCUACAUUAUUCAAGACCAUGUGGUCCUGGUGUUAAGAUUUAAAGAAACAUAGGUUAAUUGUACAGAAUAGAACAUCCAGAUAUAGAUCCACACGUAUCUGGUCACUUGAUUUUCGACAAAGGUGGAAGGUAACACAGUGAGAAAGGACAGGCUUUGCAACAAAAGCUGCCGGGACGAUUAGGUCUCCAUGUGCCAAAAUGAGAACUUUGACUCCUGCCCUGCACAUAUAAAACUGACUCAAAAUUGGACCAUAGACAUCAAUAUAAAAUCAACUAUUGAAGAAAACACAGGAGAAAAUCUUCAUAAUCUUGGAUUAAACAAAGAUUUCUUAGACCAAAAGCAUAAUCCAUAAAAGAAAGUAUUAAUAGCUGGGUGCAGUGGCUCUUACCUAUAAUCCCAGCACUUUGGGAGGCCGAAGUGGGAGGACUGCCUGAACUUAGGUGUUUGAGACCGGCCUGGCCAACAUGGCGAAACCCCAUCUCUACAAAAAAUACAAAAAUUAGGCUGGGCAUGGUGGCUCACGCCUGUAAUCCCAGUGCUUUGGGAGGCCGAGGCGUGUGGAUCAUGAGGUCAGGAGUUCAAGGCCAGCCUGGCCAACAUGGUGAAACCCCGUCUCUACUAAAAAUACAAAAAGUUACCCAGGCGUGGUGGCAGGUGCCUGUAAUCUAAGCUACUCAGGAGAGGCAGGAGAAUUGCUUAAACCUGGGAGACGGAGGUUGUAGUGAGCAACCUGGGCAACAGAGUGAGACUUUGUCUUAAAAAAAAAAAAAAUAGCAGGUUUGGUAGCUUGUGCCUAUAGUCCCAGCUACUCCAGAGGCUGAGGCAGGAGGAUGGCUUAAGCUUGGAAAGUUGAGGCUACAGUGAGCUACGAUCAUACCACUUCACUCCAGCCAGGACAACACAGCAAGACCCUAUCUCUUAAAAACUAAAAAAUUGUUCACUUUACAUAUUAUAUGUUAAUUAUACCUAAAAAAAGCUGUUUUUUUAAAAAAAGAGUUUGAGCAACAUCACCUCCCCUGCUCCUACUCUUAAGACUUAAGAGAAAUUCAAGGCUAGGCACGGUGGCUCAUGCCUGUUAUCCCAGCACUUUGUGAGGCCGAGGAGGGUGGAUCACCUGAGGUCAGGAUUUCGAGACCAGCCUGGCUAACAU